UACGAAGGGGGCUAGCGUUGCUCGGAAUCACUGGGCGUAAAGAGUGUGUAGGCGGUGCUCUAAGUUCGGUGUGAAAUCUCCUGGCUCAACUGGGAGGGUGCGCCGGAAACUGGAGUGCUUGAGCGUGGGAGAGGAAAGCGGAAUUCCUGGUGUAGCGGUGAAAUGCGUAGAUAUCAGGAGGAACACCUGUGGUGUAGACGGCUUUCUGGACCAUAGCUGACGCUGAGACGCGAAAGCGUGGGGAGCGAACAGG
rnacentral:rRNA from 1 species